AAACACAAGAUAAAGCAGCACUACUUGUGAACACAUUGUUCUAUAAGUCUUUUCAUAGAUCAGCAUAGGGAAGUUCUGCUUUCUCCCUCUGUGUCCUUAAAAUGGUCAUGGGCAGGUUAUCAUCAGGAAAUUGUUCAUAUUAAGUGAAAAAUAUGCAAAGUUCUAUGCUACACUGUGUGAAGAAAGAUAAGAAGAAAUGAUCUAGCACUCUCACUUCUAUAAUCUUCCCAGUUCUGGGUUCAAGUUAUCAAGGAGAAGAGCGAACAUCACUCAAAGACCUUUCCUCUUCUUCCAGGAAUGUAAUCUCAUAUUAAAGGAGAAGCUGAACAGAAUGG